rnacentral:rRNA from 1 species
AUUGAACGCUGGCGGCAUGCCUUACACAUGCAAGUCGAACGGUAGCGGGCCUUCGGGUGCCGACGAGUGGCGAACGGGUGAGUAAUGUAUCGGAACGUACCUUUCAGUGGGGGAUAACGUAGCGAAAGUUGCGCUAAUACCGCAUAUUCUGUGAGCAGGAAAGCAGGGGAUCGCAAGACCUUGCGCUGAUUGAGCGGCCGAUAUCAGAUUAGCUAGUUGGUGAGGUAAAGGCUCACAAAGGCGACGAUCUGUAGCGGGUCUGAGAGGAUGAUCCGCCACACUGGAACUGAGACACGGUCCAGACUCCUACGGGAGGCAGCAGUGGGGAAUUUUGGACAAUGGGGGCAACCCUGAUCCAGCCAUGCCGCGUGAGUGAAGAAGGCCUUCGGGUUGUAAAGCUCUUUCGGCCGGGAAGAAAUCGUAUCAGCUAAUACCUGGUGCGGAUGACGGUACCGGCAUAAGAAGCACCGGCUAACUACGUGCCAGCAGCCGCCGUAACAC